rnacentral:misc_RNA from 1 species
UACGAAGCGUCCAAACGUUAUUCGGAAUUACUGGGCAUAAAGUGUACGUAGGCGGCGCUUCAAGUCGGGUGUGUAAUCCUUCGGCUCAACCGAGGAACUGCGCCCGAUACUGGAGUGCUCGAGGGAGACAGAGGUAAGCGGAACUGAUGGUGGAGCGGUGAAAUGCGUUGAUAUCAUCAGGAACACCGGUGGCGAAAGCGGCUUACUGGGUCUCUUCUGACGCUGAGGUACGAAAGCUAGGGUAGCGAAGGGG